rnacentral:rRNA from 1 species
GGGUUUUGAAGGGGGAAGACCAACAAUGCAAGUCGAACGAUGAAAGCCGGAGCUUGCUCUGGCUGGAUUAGUGGCGAACGGGUGAGUAACACGUGAGUAACCUGCCCCAGACUCUGGGAUAAGCACUGGAAACGGUGUCUAAUACCGGAUACGAGCUUCAGCCGCAUGGCUAGGAGCUGGAAAGAAUUUCGGUCUGGGAUGGACUCGCGGCCUAUCAGGUAGUUGGUGAGGUAAAGGCUCACCAAGCCGACGACGGGUAGCCGGCCUGAGAGGGUGACCGGCCACACUGGGACUGAGACACGGCCCAGACUCCUACGGGAGGCAGCAGUGGGGAAUAUUGCACAAUGGGCGCAAGCCUGAUGCAGCAACGCCGCGUGAGGGACGACGGCCUUCGGGUUGUAAACCUCUUUUAGUAGGGAAGAAGCGAAAGUGACGGUACCUGCAGAAAAAGCACCGGCUAACUACGUGCCAGCAGCCGCGGUAAUACGUAGGGUGCAAGCGUUAUCCGGAAUUAUUGGGCGUAAAGAGCUCGUAGGCGGUUUGUCACGUCUGCUGUGAAAACUGGAGGCUCAACCUCCAGCCUGCAGUGGGUACGGGCAGACUAGAGUGCGGUAGGGGAGAUUGGAAUUCCUGGUGUAGCGGUGGAAUGCGCAGAUAUCAGGAGGAACACCGAUGGCGAAGGCAGAUCUCUGGGCCGUAACUGACGCUGAGGAGCGAAAGCAUGGGGAGCGAACAGGAUUAGAUACCCUGGUAGUCCAUGCCGUAAACGUUGGGAACUAGAUGUAGGGUCCAUUCCACGGAUUCUGUGUCGCAGCUAACGCAUUAAGUUCCCCGCCUGGGGAGUACGGCCGCAAGGCUAAAACUCAAAGGAAUUGACGGGGGCCCGCACAAGCGGCGGAGCAUGCGGAUUAAUUCGAUGCAACGCGAAGAACCUUACCAAGGCUUGACAUAUACCGGAAAAGUUCAGAAAUGUUCUCCCCGCAAGGUCGGUAUACAGGUGGUGCAUGGUUGUCGUCAGCUCGUGUCGUGAGAUGUUGGGUUAAGUCCCGCAACGAGCGCAACCCUCGUUCUUUGUUGCCAGCACGUAAUGGUGGGAACUCAAAGGAGACUGCCGGGGUCAACUCGGAGGAAGGUGGGGAUGACGUCAAAUCAUCAUGCCCCUUAUGUCUUGGGCUUCACGCAUGCUACAAUGGCCGGUACAAAGGGCUGCAAUACCGUAAGGUGGAGCGAAUCCCAAAAAGCCGGUCUCAGUUCGGAUUGAGGUCUGCAACUCGACCUCAUGAAGUCGGAGUCGCUAGUAAUCGCAGAUCAGCAACGCUGCGGUGAAUACGUUCCCGGGCCUUGUACACACCGCCCGUCAAGUCAGUGAAAGUCGGUAACACCCGAAGCCAGUGGCCCAAUCGGCGCAAGGAGGGAGCUGGUAUAUACUGUGUCCGGUUCCGAA